rnacentral:rRNA from 1 species
UACGUAGGGUGCGAGCGUUGUCCGGAAUUAUUGGGCGUAAAGAGCUUGUAGGCGGUUUGUCGCGUCUGCUGUGAAAAUCCGGGGCUCAACCCCGGACUUGCAGUGGGUACGGGCAGACUAGAGUGUGGUAGGGGAGACUGGAAUUCCUGGUGUAGCGGUGAAAUGCGCAGAUAUCAGGAGGAACACCGAUGGCGAAGGCAGGUCUCUGGGCAGUAACUGACGCUGAGGAGCGAAAGUGUGGGGAGCGAAACAGGA